AACGAACGCUGGCGGCAUGCCUAACACAUGCAAGUCGAACGAGACCUUCGGGUCUAGUGGCGCACGGGUGCGUAACGCGUGGGAACCUGCCCUUAGGUUCGGAAUAACUCCCCGAAAGGGGUGCUAAUACCGGAUAAUGUCUUCGGACCAAAGAUUUAUCGCCUUUGGAUGGGCCCGCGUUGGAUUAGCUAGUUGGUAGGGUAAAAGCCUACCAAGGCGACGAUCCAUAGCUGGUCUGAGAGGAUGAUCAGCCACACUGGGACUGAGACACGGCCCAGACUCCUACGGGAGGCAGCAGUGGGGAAUAUUGGACAAUGGGCGAAAGCCUGAGCCAGCAAUGCCGCGUGAGUGAUGAAGGCCUUAGGGUGGUAAAGCUCUUUUACCCGGGAUGAUAAUGACAGUACCGGGAGAAUAAGCUCCGGCUAACUCCGU
rnacentral:rRNA from 1 species